rnacentral:lncRNA from 1 species
CCCCUCUCUUUCCGUCUCUAUACUCUCAAACCCCAAACCCUAGCCGCCCCCUUAUUCCAUGCCGGCUCCACCUCUCUCCGCCGCCCGAAAAUUGCCUUAAAGUGGCAGAACAUCAACAAACAACCUCAAAUUAACACCCUGUAAUUCUGAGCCACUCACAAACACUAUCCUACUAUCAAUUUCCCCAAAAUCACCACCCAAAUCCGCCAAUUUCAUAUCUGAAAUCUAAACCUAAAAACGCUAAAUCACCCAAAUAGCCCCAAACUCACACCAUAGGACCCUUAACCUCCCCUCACCACUGUCCUGCCCUUGAUUCCCAGAAAAUCCCCGCCAAAGUUCUCGAAUCUUAAAUCUACGAAGAACCAGAAAUCCUGGUUCUAUUUUUCUUUCACUUUUCGAGUUUCUUUGGAUUGCUUCCAGACUCGACUUAGUUGAAAGACCAUGCUAAUAAAUCAUUCUCAACAAGAACGGUUGGUUAGCAUAAUUUUUAGCUAUAUCGAAGAUUUUCUGAACUGCCAGACUCCUCUUGGUAUUUUCUUUAACCCUUUUCCUUGUUUCAUUAUUUUUGUUUCCUUAAUUUUUGCAUGUGAAUAAUCAUGAGUAAUUUAGUUCAUUUCUGUACAAGUUAUUUAGUUCACUGCUUAGGCUAGUACUAAAAAAUUUCAAAGAAUGUUUAACUGUUAGAAAAUUAUUUUAGUUGCGUAGCUUAUUUAAUUCGAUCACAGUGUAGGUUAAUUAGGUUAAUUAUUAUAUUUCAUUACAUUACCAUGCUUGUUUCCUUAUUUGUUAUUGUGUUCUUGCCAUCUGUAUUUGUUUAAAUCCAGUUCUUGUUUAGGGUUAAUUAGAUAAGCACUUUUAUUUACUUAUUAGGUUAUUUUUUAGGUUUAAAUUGCAUCAUCUUGAUUCUGUUUGUCAUGUUUUAUUUGUAUCUUGAUCCCGUUUGGCUUUGCCUCUGUUUGCCUUGAUUUGUAACUCACAAGAAACUUGAAUGGGCCUAAUUAAACUAAAAGAAAAAUUUAGGAGGAUUUCAGAACUUUAGAAAACAAAUAUCUAAAAGAAGAAAGGUCUAGAAGUGUAUCAGCUGUUCAAAAUUGGUUUUAAAAGAUGCUAAAAAAUGGACAGUUGGACAUUAUUCUCUGUCAAUAUGUUGUACUAUCUAAAGAACUUAGGGUAGAAUAUUCUUUGGAUGCUCUUUUUGAUAUACACUAUAAAAAAAAUGCCCUUCAAUCAUUCUCGGGGGAGGUUUUCAGCAUUUUCUGCACCUAAAAAACUUUCAGAAUACAAGGAACAAAUCCCAGAAAUUUUUCUGGAAAAACUUCAGUUUUCUAGGGUAGAUUUCUAGGUUAUUUCUCUGGUACUCUGAUUUUCUAGGAAUUUUGAAGUGCUGGUUCUUGGUUUUUUCUGGGCUGCCUUUCUACUGUUGCUGUGAUGUUUGUUCCUGUUGGUUAUCUCCUUCAUAGUUUCAAUUCGAGGUUCAUUGUGUGUCACUUUGAUUCUUGUUAUUAUAGGUAUGUAGUUCCUUUAUCUAAAAUCCUCCAUUGGUUCAUAAAUGAGAUAUGGUGUUCAAUUAGAAAAAUGUUUGCUUCUUCUGCCUAUAGUUUUAUAUACUUGUUUCAAGCUCAUUUUAUUUUAUUCAAUGAAUGGCGCUCCUCUGAAAUUCCAAGCCAGUUGCUUUCUUGUGAAAAAUGAUUCUGCCAUGUUUUGUGUAUGAAUCAUGCCUCAUGAGUUAUGCCAAGUUGAUCAUUUCGUCAAUAUUAGCUAUUGCUUACUUUCUUGUAGUCAUGUGAUGCUAAAUAGACCUCCUUUGUAAUGAGACUUUAAUCUUUUUUCUGAUUGUAUAUGAGAGGAAAGCCUCAGAACUAUUUGGGAGCUGGAAUCAAAGGCUGAUUUGCAAAGACAACUUUGUAGCUGGUUUUUUGCAAUCUGAAGUUUACUAAAGAGUUCAUAACAAAGGAAAAGCUCAAGACCAUGUUGAAACAUUAUUUGAAAAUUUUUCUUUAGUUGCAUCUAAGAUGUAUUGUAAUUUAAAUCUAUGGACUGUCCACUAACAAACUGAUUUUUGCAUAAAGUUAGUAUGGAGUAGAUUGUAAUAUUUUUCUUUAAGUUGAUUGUUGUGAUUGAUAGUUGGGGUAAAGUAUCUUAGUAAAGCUUAUGUUCAAGUAGUCCAUUGUUAUAUAUAUAACAUGCUUUCUUAGAAUAGUUAGAAUGGGGGCCAUACGAGUUGGGCCAGACUUGCAACAAGGUCCAAUCUAGGAAUCACCAGAGCAAGUCUGGGCCCAGGCAGAUGGGCCUGGGCAUUAAACCCAAUAGUUUGACCCUCAAGUAUAAGCUUUCCUUGUGAGCUAUAGUAUAAAACGCAUUUCCUUUAUGUCUGGC